CAAACAAUAAUUAAAUCACCUGCUAAAAACAGGUCAGGAUCAAAUUAAAAUCUAAUUAGAUGGCUUUCUGCAGAAUUAGGGUCAAUACAAAGAUGGGACUGGAGGGUGAGGAUGCCUAAAGCCCCCAUAAUCCCAGACUACUGGUCAUUUUGGCUGGAGUUCGUGUGCCUCCUCCACGAGAAUGGAACUUUUCUGCAGUGACUCCCUAUUUGUGGAAUGCUCUCCCCCAGGAAACUCACCUGGUGCCUUCCUUAUACACCUUUGGGGCCAGGUGAAAACAUUUCUCUUCAACCAGACCUUUGGCUGAUUGGCAUUCAAUGCCCAUUUAGAUGUGUUGUGGGAAAGAGGAUUCUUAGUUUGUUUUCGUUCUUAUAUUUUAAUGUAUUUGGUGUUUUUUAUAUUGUAUUUUGGGGGGAUGUGGGGGGCGCUGUGGGGUAAACCACAGAGCCUAGGACUUGCCGAUCAGAAGGUCGGCGGUUCGAAUCCCCGCAAUGGGGUGAGCUCCCGUUGCUCGGUCCCACCUCCUGCCAACCUAGCAGUUCGAAAGCACGUCAAAAGUGCAAGCAUAUAAAUAGGUACCACUCUGGCGGGAAGGUAAACGGCAUUUCUGUGCACUGCUCUGGUUUGCCAGAAGCGGCUUAGUCAUGCUGACCACAAGACCCAGAAGCUAUAUGCCAGCUCCCUCGGUCGAUGAAGCGAGAUGAGCGUCGCAACCCCAGAGUCGUCCGCGACGGGACCUAACGGUCAGGGGUACCUUUACCUUUACCUAUAUUGUAUUUUUAGCUUGUGAAGCACCUUGAGAUCUAUGGAUGAAGGGUGGUAUAGAAAAUGAUGAUGAUACUAAUACUAAUACUAAUACUAAUAAUGCAUGUGUGUGCACACACAACUACACUGAUCAUUCAUGGAGGAAGAUUGCAAUUAGUAGCCCAAACAUAAUUCUGCAUCACUAAUCAGCCCUCCUCAACUGGAUGUUGCAGGACUCCAGCCAGAGCUGCUUGGAACUCUAGUCUAAGACACAGGGAGGUCAUCAGGCAAAACUGAUCUAGGUUUUAGGAAUUUUAUUCUUUUUAUUCCAUUGCAAUCUUUGAAUUUUAAGUGCUCAGGAAACCAGCCAAGCAAAAGAACGAUCAUCAUUGCAUUUUGUGUUAAUUAGACAUUGCAAUUUGCAUUCUCCUCUCUGCCUCCCGUCACCUCCACCUGUUUCCUAUGAGCAGAGGAGACUCUGAGAGCAUUUGGGUCACAGAAAGGGAACUGACUUGCUGAUUUUAAUGACAGAGCUCAGCAUGUUCUUCUGGCAGCUUUGAGUAACUUGGGCCCCAGAACUGUCACGGCAGUUAAAUGUUACAUGUUGCAAAUUGAGACAUUAAGGAUCGUGGGCUAGUGGGUGAUGCCAGCAUUGCUGAGUGUGAGCCAGGAUGAUUAAUGUCGUUUGCUACUGACUUUUUGACGACUCCAUUAAUUAAGACUAAAAAAAAUAAUUUUUUUUUAGUUGGUGUAGUGAGCUGGGGUUGUGUAUUGGUUAUGGCUGGAACUAGAUGACACUGACUCUGUAGAGUCUUAAACCAAAAAAAUCAGCAGCUCCAUCUGUAUUUCUUUAGUUUUAUAUUACACCUUUCCUCCAAGGUGCUAAGCAUGGACAAGGUAGGUCUGUGGCGAUCACACAGGGUCAUUUCACCGUCUAUUGAUCCCUGUGCCACCACUUUAUUUCUCACUGCCACCACCCAGGCCCGACCUGGUACAAUACUGAGUCCAUUCAGGGUUAAAUUGGAACAUUAACUUCUGUUUAUUUAUUGCAGUUUAACAAGCGUGUGGUUUCAUAAACGGUAUCGGUCAAUUACAGUCAUGGGGUGCCUAUCCAGACCUAUAACUUCCACUACCUGCUCUCACUCACUAAACCACCUCUCAGAUAUUUACUUGUCUUCCUAGCCCCUAACUGUUCCUGACUCAGCCUAUUUCGCUACACCAACUCAACCUACCCACAAACUCUAUCCCAAUUCACUCCCACUCCAACUAACCACCCAACUCCCAACGAACUCCUCCCUUCACCUCUCCCACAGCUGGUUUUAUAGUCCCUCUGACUCCACCCCCUGGGUCCUGAUUGGGUAACCUGUUUAAUUAUUUCACCUCCAGCACUCUCAUAUGUUAACGUCACCAGGUCUUCUUCCCCUUCACAGCAAACCUAUAAGGUGAGAGCGAGAUGACUGAAGGCCAUGUUGUGAGCUUCCUGGGUGAAGUGGGAUUUGAACCUGAGUCUCCCAAGUCCCCAUCUGACAUGCAAACCUACUGUAACUACAAUAUCACACGGGUGCCUUACUCCUGUUCUCUCUUCCCAUCAGUGAAGAACUGUGCGGGGAGAGAGACUCUGUGCUAGCCAGCAGGUAAUGACUUUUUCCACCUUCCUUGCCCCACCUUCCAGCCCUGGGAAUCUUCAUAAGGGACCUGUUUCCAGAGGAAGAACUAUGAGGGGAGAAAGACUCUGUUUGCCACUAGAGGGUGGCUGGUUUUACCUGUGCUGCCCCACCUCCAACCAGAGGAACCUUCAAGGGGGAGUUUCUGCCAGAGGCACUAUGUCGAUGUGUAUUUUAAUGAGCUGAACAGAGUGAAAGAAUAUGAGUUAUGGGGCUGGGG